UGGGGAAUAUUGGACAAUGGGCGCAAGCCUGAUCCAGCCACGCCGCGUGAGUGAUGAAGGCCUUCGGGUCGUAAAGCUCUGUGGGGAGGGACGAACGACCGGAUGAAGAAUCCGGGUUGACGGUACCUCCUUAGCAAGCACCGGCUAACUCUGUGCCAGCAGCCGCGGUAAUACAGAGGUCUCAAGCGUUGUUCGGAUUCAUUGGGCGUAAAGGGUGUGUAGGUGGCGCCGUAAGUCGGGUGUGAAAUUUCGAGGCUUAACCUCGAAACUGCAGUCGAUACUGCGGUGCUUGAGGACUGGAGAGGAGACUGGAAUUCAUGGUGUAGCAGUGAAAUGCGUAGAUAUCAUGAGGAAGACCAGUGGCGAAGGCGGGUCUCUGGACAGUUCCUGACACUGAGACACGAAGGCCAGGGGAGCAAACGG
rnacentral:rRNA from 1 species